CGCGAAAGUGGAGCAAUCCAUGAGUAGAGUGGCAAACGGGUGAGUAACGCGUGGGCGACCUACCUCAGAGUGGGGGAUAACCUUCCGAAAGGAGGGCUAAUACCGCAUGACAUACCGUGUYUGGAUACACGGAUAUCAAAGCCGGGGAUCGCAAGACCUGGCGCUUGGAGAGGGGCCCGCGUCCGAUUAGCUAGUUGGUGRGGUAACGGCYYACCAAGGCUCCGAUCGGUAUCCGGCCUGAGAGGGCGGACGGACACACUGGRACUGAGACACGGYCCAGACUCCUACGGGAGGCAGCAGUGGGGAAUUGUUCRCAAUGGGCGCAAGCCUGAYGACGCAACGCCGCGUGGAGGAUGAAGGACUUCGGKYCGUAAACUCCUUUCGACCGAGAUGAAYWCCKCYUGACCUAACACGUCGRSRGGKUGACAGUAUCGAGGGAAGMAGCCCCGGCUAACUCCGUGCCAGCAGCCGCGGUAAUACGGGGGGGGCAAGCGUUGUUCGGAAUUACUGGGCGUAAAGGGUYYGUAGGUGGCYUGCUAAGUCASACGUGAAAUCCCUCRGCUUAACYGGGGAACUGCGUSUGAUACUGGCGAGCUUGAGUGCAGGAGAGGAACGCGGAAUUCCAGGUGUAGCGGUGAAAUGCGUAGAUAUCUGGAGGAACACCGGUGGCGAAGGCGGCGUUCUGGACUGCACUGACACUGAUG
rnacentral:rRNA from 1 species